rnacentral:rRNA from 1 species
AGAGUUUGAUCCUGGCUCAGGAUGAACGCUGGCGGCGUGCCUAACACAUGCAAGUCGAACGGGUGUACGGGGAGGAAGGCUUCGGCCGGAAAACCUGUGCAUGAGUGGCGGACGGGUGAGUAACGCGUGGGCAACCUGGCCUGUACAGGGGGAUAACACUUAGAAAUAGGUGCUAAUACCGCAUAACGGGGGAAGCCGCAUGGCUUUUCCCUGAAAACUCCGGUGGUACAGGAUGGGCCCGCGUCUGAUUAGCCAGUUGGCAGGGUAACGGCCUACCAAAGCGACGAUCAGUAGCCGGCCUGAGAGGGCGGACGGCCACACUGGGACUGAGACACGGCCCAGACUCCUACGGGAGGCAGCAGUGGGGGAUAUUGCACAAUGGGGGGAACCCUGAUGCAGCGACGCCGCGUGGGUGAAGAAGCGCCUCGGCGCGUAAAGCCCUGUCAGCAGGGAAGAAAAUGACGGUACCUGAAGAAGAAGCCCCGGCUAACUACGUGCCAGCAGCCGCGGUAAUACGU